CCUACGGGGGGCAGCAGUGAGGAAUAUUGGUCAAUGGACGAGAGUCUGAACCAGCCAAGUAGCGUGAAGGAUGACUGCCCUAUGGGUUGUAACCUUCUUUUAUAUGGGAGUAAAAUGUUCCACGUGUGGGUUUUUGUAUGUACCAUAUGAAUAAGGAUCGGCUAACUCCGUGCCAGCAGCCGCGGUAAUACGGAGGGUCCGAGCGUUAUCCGGAUUUAUUGGGUUUAAAGGGAGCGUAGGUGGAUUGUUAAGUCAGUUGUGAAAGUUUGCGGCUCAACCGUAAAAUUGCAGUUGAAACUGGCAGUCUUGAGUACAGUAGAGGUGGGCGGAAUGCGUGGUGUAGCGGUGAAAUGCUUAGAUAUCACGAAGAACUCCGAUUGCGAAGGCAGCUCACUGGACUGCAACUGACACUGAGGCUCGAAAGUGUGGGUAUCAAACAGGAUUAGAUACCCUUGUAGUC
rnacentral:rRNA from 1 species